GCAGUGUCUCGGACUUGCACGGUUGAUGUCGAGGCAGCUUCUUUCGCCAUGAAAGCACUCCUACACAUUGCCCAGUCGGCCUUGGUUUCUUCUACGGCAGCUUUGGACGCCUCUAGGCUUGACUUGGCUUCAUCAACGUCCUGCCUCAACUCUGACAAGGCUUGAUACACCUUGGCUUGAAACAAGCUGUUCUCGUUGGCUAUCUCUGCCCCUGCAGCAUAGAUCCUCUCUUGGAAAGCGUCCAAC
rnacentral:lncRNA from 1 species